rnacentral:rRNA from 1 species
UACAGAGGUCUCAAGCGUUGUUCGGAUUCAUUGGGCGUAAAGGGUGCGUAGGUGGCGGGGUAAGUCUGGUGUGAAAUCUCGGGGCUCAACCCCGAAACUGCACUGGAUACUGCCUUGCUCGAGUACUGGAGAGGAGAUUGGAAUUUACGGUGUAGCAGUGAAAUGCGUAGAUAUCGUAAGGAAGACCAGUGGCGAAGGUGAAUCUCUGGACAGUUACUGACACUGAGGCACGAAGGCCAGGGGAGCAAACGGG